GACGAACGCUGGCGGCGUGCCUAAUACAUGCAAGUAGAACGCUAAAGGAGGAGCUUGCUUCUCUGGAUGAGUUGCGAACGGGUGAGUAACGCGUAGGUAACCUGCCUGGUAGCGGGGGAUAACUAUUGGAAACGAUAGCUAAUACCGCAUAAUAGUAGAUGUUGCAUGACAUUUGCUUAAAAGGUGCAAUUGCAUCACUACCAGAUGGACCUGCGUUGUAUUAGCUAGUUGGUGAGGUAACGGCUCACCAAGGCAACGAUACAUAGCCGACCUGAGAGGGUGAUCGGCCACACUGGGACUGAGACACGGCCCAGACUCCUACGGGAGGCAGCAGUAGGGAAUCUUCGGCAAUGGACGGAAGUCUGACCGAGCAACGCCGCGUGAGUGAAGAAGGUUUUCGGAUCGUAAAGCUCUGUUGUAAGAGAAGAACGAGUGUGAGAGUGGAAAGUUCACACUGUGACGGUAUCUUACCAGAAAGGGACGGCUAACUACGUG
rnacentral:rRNA from 1 species